GACGUAGGGCGCAAGCGUUGUCCGGAUUUAUUGGGCGUAAAGAGCUCGUAGGCGGUUUGUCGCGUCUGCUGUGAAAACCUAAGGCUCAACCUUGGGCUUGCAGUGGGUACGGGCAGACUAGAGUGCGGUAGGGGUGACUGGAAUUCCUGGUGUAGCGGUGAAAUGCGCAGAUAUCAGGAGGAACACCGGUGGCGAAGGCGGGUCUCUGGGCCGACACUGACGCUGAGGAGCGAAAGCGUGGGGAGCGAACAGG
rnacentral:rRNA from 1 species